UAGGGAAUCUUCGGCAAUGGACGAAAGUCUGACCGAGCAACGCCGCGUGAGUGAAGAAGGUUUUCGGAUCGUAAAACUCUGUUGUUAGAGAAGAACAAGGACGUUAGUAACUGACGUCCCCUGACGGUAUCUAACCAGAAAGCCACGGCUAACUACGUGCCAGCAGCCGCGGUAAUACGUAGGUGGCAAGCGUUGUCCGGAUUUAUUGGGCGUAAAGCGAGCGCAGGCGGUUUCUUAAGUCUGAUGUGAAAGCCCCCGGCUCAACCGGGGAGGGUCAUUGGAAACUGGGAGACUUGAGUGCAGAAGAGGAGAGUGGAAUUCCAUGUGUAGCGGUGAAAUGCGUAGAUAUAUGGAGGAACACCAGUGGCGAAGGCGGCUCUCUGGUCUGUAACUGACGCUGAGGCUCGAAAGCGUGGGGAGCAAACAGG
rnacentral:rRNA from 1 species